rnacentral:lncRNA from 1 species
UGGCAGCUUCAGGACUGGGGCCAACUUGGUCCCAGGAAUAGCCAGCGUUUGCAGGAUCAAGUCCUGGUGGGACAGCAGCUGGGAGUCCUGAGGGAAAGUUUACUUAAGGAAUGGUUUCCCUCCCAGAAACUGCUUCAGCAACAUACUGUAGGUCUUCACUUACGGAACUAUGUGAAUAAAAAAAAGUGAUGAUAGUUUCUGAUGGCUAUAAUUUCCGGACCUGAAGCACAACCCAAGUAGAGAGGUUAAAAGAACAAGGCUUCUUCACAACACUUCUGCACUUUUAAGAGUUGUGUACAAGAGAGAACUUCAGCAUUCAUCCUAAGAACUCACCAAACCUCCUGCCGGAAGAAACGGAGUCUGCUGUCAGGCAGCACGUGACUGAUGACAACAUAUCAUUGAUAGUCUGCCUUUGGUGGCGUGACACAAAAUGUUGAAGUACAUUGACUGUGCAGAACUAUUCACUCUUUAAUUGUACCCAUAUAUUAACAUAAUAUACUUCCUCUUGCUUAAUGCACUUGGCAUAACAAGACAUCAUGUGGUGAAGUCAUUCAAAUAAUUUCAGAACAGCUUGCAUUUCUUUAUCUUUCUCUCAAGUGCAUGCUACAGUGGGAGUUAGAGGGUUGAUAGCAUUGUUGCUGAUUUAUGGAAAAGCUGGUGACUAUUUCAGUGAACUAGCUAAAGCCCCUUGGCUUACAUUUCCUCACCUUCCAUUCAAAGCUAGGGAACUGUAAAUCUAAAAUGCCCACAUCCACAGAUAUCUUCUCUAUCCCAUCUCCACAUCCACUCCAUGUGCCUCAAUUUUCCUUGAUACAGAAUAUGGAGUUUUAAUCUUUGGCCUUGUGCAUGGUGCUAGAUAUAGGGAAUUUCUUCCAUCUGUCAUGCUGCAAGCAUUUGGUUAAGACUGAGAAGGUGAAAUAUUCUUGUUUUUGUUCAAAUGUAGGGAAAGAAAUCAUCCCGGACACUAUACUCCAUGUGCUUUGUAGAUGGCAUGGAAGCACGGCUCCUGGUCAUGAAAUAAAAUGUAAGAGAAGGAAAAUUGCCCAGAUCAGAGCUGAACUAUACUGAAAAUAAGUCCUGAGAUAAUUAGUACUGUUUAUGUGGCCAACUACGAUUUCAUGAAAAUCGCCUUCUACAACUCUUCUCUGGAUUUACAGGCAUAGAAACUGUGGAACAAUUUCACUGAAUAGUCUCUGAGGAAAAGAGGUUGUAUUCUCUAAUUGUUUGAGAGGAGAAGUCAAUUUAUCUGAACAUGUUCAAAGAAAUAAUGAUUCUGCUAACAUUAAAUGAAACAAUUGUACUAAAUUAUACUGGUGAAUAAAGGUAGUAAUAGAGUGAGAGGAAAGGACUGG